rnacentral:rRNA from 1 species
UACAGAGGUCCCAAGCGUUGUUCGGAUUUAUUGGGCGUAAAGGGAGCGUAGGCGGCCAACUAAGUCAGACGUGAAAUCCCUCAGCUUAACUGGGGAACUGCGUCUGAUACUGGAUGGCUUGGAUUCGGGAGAGGAAUGCGGAAUUCCAGGUGUAGCGGUGAAAUGCGUAGAUAUCUGGAGGAACACCGGUGGCGAAGGCGGCAUUCUGGACCGAUAUUGACGCUGAGGAGCGAAAGCCAGGGGAGCAAACGGG